CCUACGGGGGGCUGCAGUGGGGAAUAUUGCGCAAUGGCCGAAAGGCUGACGCAGCGACGCCGCGUGGGGGAUGAAGCAUUUCGGUGUGUAAACCCCUGUUGCCCGGGACGAACAACUGGAUUCUUCCAGUCUGACGGUACCGGGUGAGGAAGCACCGGCUAACUCCGUGCCAGCAGCCGCGGUAAUACGGAGGGUGCGAGCGUUGUCCGGAAUCACUGGGCGUAAAGGGCGCGUAGGCGGUCUGCUAAGCGUGUGGUGAAAGCUCGGGGCUCAACCCCGAGUCUGCCAUGCGAACUGGUGGACUUGAGCACUGUAGAGGCAGGUGGAAUUCCGGGUGUAGCGGUGGAAUGCGUAGAGAUCCGGAAGAACACCGGUGGCGAAGGCGGCCUGCUGGGCAGUUGCUGACGCUGAGGCGCGACAGCGUGGGGAGCAAACAGGAUUAGAUACCCCAGUAGUC
rnacentral:rRNA from 1 species